UACGUAGGGGGGCGAGCGUUGUCCGGAUUCAUUGGGCGUAAAGAGCUCGUAGGCGGCUUGUCAAGUCGGGUGUGAAACCUCCAGGCUCAACCUGGAGACGCCACUCGAGACUGUCAUGGCUAGAGUCCGGAAGAGGCGAGUGGAAUUCCUGGUGUAGCGGUGAAAUGCGCAGAUAUCAGGAGGAACACCAAUUGCGAAGGCAGCUCGCUGGGACGUUACUGACGCUGAGACGCGAAAGCGUGGGGAGCAAACAGG
rnacentral:rRNA from 1 species